rnacentral:rRNA from 1 species
AUUGCCCCAGUAACGGCGAGUGAAGCGGCAACAGCUCAAAUUUGAAAUCUGGCCCUCGGGUCCGAGUUGUAAUUUGUAGAGGAUGCUUUUGGCGCGGUGCCUUCCGAGUUCCCUGGAACGGGACGCCUUAGAGGGUGAGAGCCCCGUACGGUUGGACACCAAGCCUCUGUAAAGCGCCUUCGACGAGUCGAGUAGUUUGGGAAUGCUGCUCUAAAUGGGAGGUAAAUUUCUUCUAAAGCUAAAUAUUGGCCAGAGACCGAUAGCGCACAAGUAGAGUGAUCGAAAGAUGAAAAGCACUUUGAAAAGAGGGUUAAACAGCACGUGAAAUUGUUGAAAGGGAAGCGUUUGCGACCAGACCUCUCCCCGGCGGAUCAUCCGGCGUUCUCGCCGGUGCACUUCGCCGGGCUGAGGCCAGCAUCGGUUUCCGCGGGGGGACAAAAGCGGGGGGAACGUAGCUCCCUCGGGAGUGUUAUAGCCCCCCGCAUAAUACCCUCGCGGGGACCGAGGACCGCGCUUCGGCAAGGAUGCUGGCGUAAUGGUCGUCAACGACCCGUCUUGAAACACGGACCAAGGAGUCGAACAUUUGUGCGAGUGUUUGGGUGUCAAACCCUCACGCGUAAUGAAGGUGAACGUAGGUGAGAGCCUUCACGGGCGCAUCAUCGACCGAUCCUGAUGUCUUCGGAUGGAUUUGAGUAAGAGCAUAACUGUUCGGACCCGAAAGAUGGUGAACUAUGCGUGGAUAGGGUGAAGCCAGAGGAAACUCUGGUGGAGGCUCGCAGCGGUUCUGACGUGCAAAUCGAUCGUCAAAUCUGCGCAUGGGGGCGAAAGACUUAUCGAACCAUCUAGUAGCUGGUUACCGCCGAAGUUUCCCUCAGGAUAGCAGUGUUGUUCUUCAGUUUUAUGAGGUAAAGCGAAUGAUUAGGGACUCGGGGGCGCUCUUUAGCCUUCAUCCAUUCUCAAACUUUAAAUAUGUAAGAAGCCCUUGUUGCUUAGUUGAACGUGGGCAUUCGAAUGUACCAACACUAGUGGGCCAUUUUUGGUAAGCAGAACUGGCGAUGCGGGAUGAACCGAACGCGGGGUUAAGGUGCCGGAGUGGACGCUCAUCAGACACCACAAAAGGUGUUAGCACAUUUAGACAAUAGGACGGUGGCCAUGGAAGUCGGAAUCCGCUAAGGACUGUGUAACAACUCACCUAUCGAAUGUGCUAGCCCUGAAAAUGGAUGGCGCUCAAGCGUCCCACCCAUACCUCGCCCUCGGGGUAGGAUCGGUGCCCCGAGGAGUAGGCGGCCGUGGGGGUCAGUGACGAAGCCUAGG